GGGGUAACGGCUCACCUAGGCGACGAUCCCUAGCUGGUCUGAGAGGAUGACCAGCCACACUGGAACUGAGACACGGUCCAGACUCCUACGGGAGGCAGCAGUGGGGAAUAUUGCACAAUGGGCGCAAGCCUGAUGCAGCCAUGCCGCGUGUAUGAAGAAGGCCUUCGGGUUGUAAAGUACUUUCAGCGGGGAGGAAGGGAGUAAAGUUAAUACCUUUGCUCAUUGACGUUACCCGCAGAAGAAGCACCGGCUAACUCCGUGCCAGCAGCCGCGGUAAUACGGAGGGUGCAAGCGUUAAUCGGAAUUACUGGGCGUAAAGCGCACGCAGGCGGUUUGUUAAGUCAGAUGUGAAAUCCCCGGGCUCAACCUGGGAACUGCAUCUGAUACUGGCAAGCUUGAGUCUCGUAGAGGGGGGUAGAAUUCCAGGUGUAGCGGUGAAA
rnacentral:rRNA from 1 species